UGUAAGCGUAUACCAAAGUUGUUGCAGUUAAAACGCUCGUAGUUGGAAUUUGGCAGUUCCGGAAGUGUGCACGUCGUGUGCGCACUUUGCGGGGACUGCUUUUGUGGUCUUGCGUAGGAUGAGGCACUUUCAUUAGUGAACGUCCUCACGCAACCACUCUUUACUGUGAGAAAAUCAGAGUGCUCAAAGCAGGCAUUUGCCGUGAAUGUAUUAGCAUGGAAUAAUAGAAUAGGACUCGGUUCUAUUUUGUUGGUUUGUUGGGACUGAGUAAUGAUUAAGAGGGACAGUUGGGGGCAUUUGUAUUCCGGCGCUAGAGGUGAAAUUCUUAGAUUGCCGGAAGACAAACUGCUGCGAAAGCGUCUGCCAAGGAUGUUUUCAUUGA
rnacentral:rRNA from 1 species